UACGUAGGUGGCAAGCGUUGUCCGGAAUUACUGGGUGUAAAGGGAGCGCAGGCGGGGAAGCAAGUCAGCUGUGAAAUCCAUGGGCUUAACCCAUGAACUGCAGUUGAAACUGUUUUUCUUGAGUGAAGUAGAGGUAGGCGGAAUUCCGAGUGUAGCGGUGAAAUGCGUAGAUAUUCGGAGGAACACCGGUGGCGAAGGCGGCCUACUGGGCUUUUACUGACGCUGAGGCUCGAAAGUGUGGGGAG
rnacentral:rRNA from 1 species